rnacentral:rRNA from 1 species
AUUGAACGCUGGCGGCAGGCCUAACACAUGCAAGUCGGACGGUAGCACAGAGGAGCUUGCUCCUCGGGUGACGAGUGGCGGACGGGUGAGUAAUGUCUGGGGAUCUGCCCGAUAGAGGGGGAUAACCACUGGAAACGGUGGCUAAUACCGCAUAACGUCGCACGACCAAAGCGGGGGACCUUCGGGCCUCUCACUAUCGGAUGAACCCAGAUGGGAUUAACUAGUAGGCGGGGUAACGGCCCACCUAGGCGACGAUCCCUAGCUGGUCUGAGAGGAGGACCAGCCACACUGGAACUGAGACACGGUCCAGACUCCUACGGGAGGCAGCAGUGGGGAAUAUUGCACAAUGGGCGCAAGCCUGAUGCAGCCAUGCCGCGUGUAUGAAGAAGGCCUUCGGGUUGUAAAGUACUUUCAGCGGGGAGGAAGGCGAUGUGGUUAAUAACCGCGUCGAUUGACGUUACCCGCAGAAGAAGCACCGGCUAACUCCGUGCCAGCCGCCGCAGUAA